GUACCCGCUGAACUUAAGCAUAUCAAUAAGCGGAGGAAAAGAAACUAACAAGGAUUCCCCUAGUAACGGCGAGUGAAGAGGGAAAAGCCCAAGUUUGAAAGCUGACACCUUCGGUGUCCGCAUUGUAAACUCGAGAAGUGUUAUCCGCGCCGGACCAGACUUUAAAUCCUUUGGAAUAAGGUACCUUAGAGGGUGAUAGUCCCUUUCAUAGUCUGGAACCCCCGGGGCUUUGUGAUGCGCUCUCCAAGAGUCGAGUUGUUUGGGAAUGCAGCUCAAAAUGGGUGGUAAAUGCCAUCUAAGGCUAAAUAUAGAGGAGAGACCGAUAGCGAACAAGUACCGUGAGGGAAAGAUGAAAAGAACUUUGGAAAGAGAGUUAAACAGUACGUGAAAUUGCCGGAAGGGAAGGGUAGGAAGUCAGAUAUGUCUUAAUUGAUUCAACUUGGCCUUUCGAGGUUGGGUGUAUUUCAAUUACGGACAGGCCAGCAUCGAUUUUAGCUGCCGGAUAUUGGUAGRAGGAAUGUGGCAUCUUUUUCGGAAGGUGUGUUAUAGCCUUUUACUUGGUACGGCGGCCGGGAUCGAGGAACGCAGUGCACCCUUUUGGGCGGGCCUUCGGGCACCUUUGCACAUAGGAUGUUGGCUUAAUGGCUUUCUGCCACCCGUCUUGAAACACGGACCAAGGAGUCUAACAUGUAUGCGAGUCUUUGGGUGUGAAAACCCAUAGGCGAAAUGAAAGUGACCUUUAAGGUGGGACUCUUCGGAUGCACCAUCGACCGAUCUUGAAUUUUUAUAAUGACGGAUUUGAGUAAGAGCAUAUAUGUUGGGACCCGAAAGAUGGUGAACUAUGCCUGAAUAGGGUGAAGUCAGGGGAAACUCUGAUGGAAGCUCGUAGCGGUUCUGACGUGCAAAUCGAUCGUAAAAUUUGGGUAUAGGGGCGAAAGACUAAUCGAACCAUCUAGUAGCUGGUUCCUGCCGAAGUUUCCCUCAGGAUAGCAGAAACUCGUUACUCAGUUUUAUGAGGUAAAGCGAAUGAUUAGAGGACUUGGGGAUGUAACAUCCUUAACCUAUUCUCAAACUUUAAAUGUGUAAGACGCCCUUGUUGCUUAGGUGAACUUGGGCUUUGCGAAUGAGAGUUUCUAGUGGGCCAUUUUUGGUAAGCAGAACUGGCGAUGCGGGAUGAACCGAACGUUGGGUUAAGGUGCCUAAAUAUACGCUCAUCAGAUACCACAAAAGGUGUUGAUUGAUCUAGACAGCAGGACGGUGGCCAUGGAAGUCGGAACCCGCUAAGGAGUGUGUAACAACUCACCUGCCGAAUCAAUUAGCCCUGAAAAUGGAUGGCGCUUAAGCGUAUUACCUAUACCCGACCGUUGCGAGCAAGUUAAUAAAUGCUCCAACGAGUAGGCAGGCGUGGAGGUUUGCGUCGAAGACUUGGCUGUAAAGCUGGUUGGAGCGGCCUCUAGUGCAGAUCU
rnacentral:rRNA from 1 species